CCCAAGCUGUGGCAUCUUGAAACCACAACCAGAUACCAGUUCACUUAGAAAGUUUGAAACACCAUGAAGUUCACCUACACUUUGUCCCUUCUGGUUUUGUGCCUAACUUUGUACUUAACCUUCACCAAUGCUGCAAAUUUCAACAUUAUAAACCAAUGUACCUACACAGUUUGGGCAGCUGCUUCCCCAGGCGGUGGCAGGCGGCUCGACCGAGGCCAAUCAUGGUCCCUAAACGUGGCUCCUGGCACCACCCACGCUCGCAUUUGGGGCCGAACCAAUUGCAACUUUGAUGCCAAUGGCCGAGGCCAAUGUCAAACAGGUGACUGCAACGGGGGCCUCGUAUGCCAAGGCUAUGGAAAGCCUCCGAAUACACUAGCUGAAUUCGCCCUAAACCGGCCUAACAACGUAGACUACAUCGACAUUUCCAACGUUGAUGGAUUCAACAUCCCAAUGGAGUUCAGCUCCGUUACUCGUUGCCGUAAUAUCAGAUGUUCAGCGCCUAUUGUUGAUCAAUGCCCAGCUAAGCUAAGAACUCCAGGUGGAUGCAACAAUCCCUGCACUGUCUUUAAAACAAAUGAGUUCUGUUGCACCAAUGGCCCAGGAAGCUGCCGCCCGACCGACUUCUCCAGGUUCUUUAAGAGCAGGUGCCCUGAUGCUUAUAGCUAUCCUCAAGAUGAUCCCACAAGCUUGUUUACUUGCCCAAGUGGUACAAAUUAUAGGGUUGUCUUCUGCCCUUAAAUAAAGCUAGAUAUUUAAGGUUCUUGUGACAGCUUAUAUGCUCCAAGAACUUCACUAGAAAAGUAGAUUAUGAGAAAUAAACGCAUAUGUGAACCUUCUGGUAAUGGUUCACUGGAAUUGGGAUAAAUUUGAGCACAUAUAGCAUUGUGCGGUUUGUCUUCUUUAUCAGCUUUUUGGCUUUAUAAACUACUUAUGAACUAGAUGACCAGUUCAAAACUAAUGAAGUUUUACUAAAUUAAUCAGUAAGAAGGAUUUACGGAUCUCUAGUUUUAAAUUAGAUUGUCAAAAUACUUUGUUCCCCACACUUCGAAAAUUUGAGUCAUGUUUAGGUUUAACUUACAUAGGAGAAUUCCUUUUUUUUUUUUUUUCUGAAAUUCAGACCAUCUCUCCAGUCAAAUACUAAGAUGUCAUAUAAAUCAAAUUAAUUUGUUUAAGUGUAUUACACAAUCAUACUUCAUGUAUAUAAAUGUUACCACAAAAUCAAGAGUAAGAAAAGUUUGUCUUGCAACUAUUCAAGAAAUGGAAGCUUGGUGUAAAUUCAAAACAAAAAUGGAGAUUUCUAUACUAAGGUAAACCCCAAAAUAAUUGAAAAUGAUAAUCUCAUGAAAUAACAAAGAUGGUGAGAUGAAAGAUUACUAAGUAAGAUAAAGGUGCGAUUAAGGCGUUCAAUCGAGGAAACUUGUAGAUGCCAAAUUGACAAUUUGAUGCACAUAUGCUUAAUAGUAUUCAAGUGUUCAUUCUUAAAAGUUGGAAUUGGGCCAAUAUUGUAAUUCAGCCCGGUUGUAUAUUUAUUACAUUAUACUGUUAUAUUCAUGGAAACAGUGAUGUAAAUGAAUAAAACAUUUCAUCUACAGUGAAUAUAAUAUUAGGGUAAAUUAUUUAUAAUUCUUCUGUAAUUUUAUAUAAUGUCAGACGAUCUCCCAUAUGUUUCAAAAUAGUCACAUCACCCCCUAUGAUUUUAUGUAAAGCAGAGAAUAAAUAAAAAGUACUAUCAAUUACAAUGUGUAUACCAAACGUGCUCUAAAAAUAUGUGUCAUAAAAUCUUAGUUUUCAUGUAAUCCACUUAUGAGAUGUAUAAUUAUCCACUUUACCUCCUAUAAUUUUUGUAUUUAUCCAAAUAAUCCCCUAUGCUUUUAUAUAAGAUAGUUAAACUGUCAAUUGAUUUAGCAUUUAUACAAGGGCACUAUUAAUAUGUUAAUUAAUAGUCGUCCAAGCAACCAUCAAGACACAGCCAACAGAACAAGCUAUUAGCAACUCAAAUUUUAUCAAUCAUUACAUGUACUAGAGCUUAAUUGGCAAGGAAGAAGUGAAUUUACUUGGCUUUUAAUUCGUUCUUUAUCCUCGAAGCAGUCUUUGCAUAUCUACCAGAGGGAAUUUUGUCAAUGUAUUAACUGCAUUUCCCUGCUUCACUAAUGGUUAGAACAUAAAUAAAGCAAGGUGUUCUGGAACAACGUCAAAUCAAACAUAAAACCAAUUUAUGCAUGACAAGGGCAGAAAUUAAGGUCAAUACAUGCUGCUAAAUUUACUCCAUUACCAAGGACAACUUCACCGAUGAUCUUGGGAUUUGUAGUAGUUGUUGCGAUGGUGAACAACCAUGGUGCUGUACUUGUAAUCUGUCCUUGUACAAGACCAUUAUUUCCUGCCGAUUACAGUAAGUAUUCCCUUCUGUGCUGCAUGAAAAGAUCCAAUUGCUAUAGAAUUAUCUUUCAAUCAACCGGAUAAUUGAAACCAAUUAAAAUUGUAAUAAUGUCUACUCCAUCGGCUAUAGCAUCGUUGAAUCAAGCCAAUAUAUCAGCAUCAUCACAGCAUGGAAAAGCACAAGCAUUGUAUACAGCAUUCCUUGCUGCAGGCGCCCCUCCUCGUAUAGUACCUUCUACAAUUCCAUAGUAACUCACAUCCAUGACAAUGUUUCCUGCAGCUGUGUGCGUUCCAUUAUGACCCUAUAAAUCUGUUGCAGAAUCUGAUACAUGGUACCGAGCUCCAAUAAUUUUUCUGUAGACAUGUACACAUCAAAAUGAUAAUCGAAGUUUCCCAUUCAACAUUUCCUAUGUAAACUAACAAAAAGUAGAAACUUUUCCUGUUGCACAUGAAAUCAAUCCCGCCGUAACACACUCCUUUCCAUUUGCUGGGAAUAGGACCAAAACUUUGUUCACGAAAACUCUCUGAUUCUGGCCAAAUUCCAGAAUCAAGUAACUCCUAUGACUAUAUCACUCUCAAAUGCAAGAUUUCGGGGGGCACUUAUAGGAAAACAAAUAAAGUCGCACGAUGCUGUUGUAUAAGUUGAAGCCUUUUGCUUGGAAAUAUAGAAACCACAUGAUCAUGAGCUGCAAAUUUAGUUAAGAACUCACACAUUAGUGGAAGAUUAAUAGAUUUCAAAAAUCAGGAAAGUUGAAAGAGACUAACGUUGCAAAAUUGCACAGACCAGCCAACUUUUGCUGCUCUUGCUUUGUAAGGUAGGCUGAAAAUCCAUUGAAACUCCUAGUAUAACUUCUUCCCAAGAUUUCCCCUUGAUAAUUUCCAUGACAUAAAGAAAAAGAAAUAAAUAAUGUUAUAAAAAAGUUUUUUUUAUGCAUCAAUUGGUAUGUAGUAUAAGUUUGUGGGCACUGAAUAUAUGCAUUAAUUGCUAUCUUAAGCUUCUUCCAGGAUACUAACAUGGUGCUCGGAAGCUGAAUAUUCUCUUUCAGGAUGCGAUUCCACGUAAACUGUAAACCUGUCAUCAAGUAAAAGAAAACUAUCAUUUCUUGACUUGCUGCAUGUUAUUGAAUUUGAACGCUUCAGUUAUGCGACAGUUAUAUUUAUCGUGUAAAAUGUUGUAGUUAUGAUCACUACAUUGAAGUACAAUGCUGCAAAUUCAAUAUAUUACCCGAUACGCAUUAAUCAAAGAAAAUUAAUCUUUUACAGAAAUGAAAAGAGAAGAUAUCAAUGGCACUAUUGCCAAUACUGAUGGGCAACAUAUCCAGUUCUAUAGGCAACAUUAGCCAUUGUUUUCAGGAAUUACAUUUUCUAGCUCCAACUAUAUAUUGUUACUUAUGUUCCUUAAUGUAUGUUAAUCUCUAUUAGUACAUUUUUUCAGACCUAAAAGAUUUCUGGGUCGUACAAUACGAAAUCAAAAGGUGAUGUGUACAAAUGGUCCUUAGAAAGGGUAAGCCUGUCUCUUAGGACUUAAAUACAAGGAUCAAAGAUGCAUGUCCCAUUUUGUGCAUAAUUAAUAUCAAAAACCAACCUGAUUUGUUUAGAAAAGUUUGUUAAAACAAUGCAACAUUACCUUUAGUCAAAAAUCGUGGGCUAUUGUUGCAUUUAUGAGUUACAUAAAAGUCAUCCAUACAGGCAGAAGAAAUCCAGCAUUUCUUGCGGCUUUGGAGUGCUUCGUUUUUACUCAUGCUUGUAUCUUGAGCCAGAUUUGAUAUCUCAAGAAUGAGACUCUGAUAAGAUUAGAGUAAGUAUGCUCAAGAUUUGAAGCGAGGCUCAACUUAGUAAUGUUUUGUGCAAGAUUAUUUGUGAGUGUUGUUAUUUUAUACAUUUUUUUAGUGUAAUGUAUUAUUUGUUUGCCUUUAUUAUCAGUAGACUUAAUCCAUUAAUUUGGUAAAUCCACCACAAUCUAACAAAGCUCUGUUACUCGGGGAGUCCCAUGGACACAGUACCCGUACAAAAUAAAGAUUCCAACAUAGAUAUGGGAGGGCAAAAUAGAGAGUCUGAAAAACAUAAUAGAAAAGCUUGAGAAGGGAAGUGGAUAAUGGACCAAUGAGAACAAGAAAAUAAAACAAUUAAACCCUAAUAUUUAUUCUCAUCCACUUAUUGAGUAGAAGGAUCAUGUCAUGAAAUCAAAAGAUUAUGGAAUAACUUGUAACAAAAUAUUUUUCCCGUAAUGAUAUACUAUAUCCCAUAUGAUUGAAGAAAAAGAAAAAUGACUUGCCUGACUUUCUUCACCAGAAUGGUGCAUAAUAGGCUCAUUAGAAUUGCUAAUACAAAUAAGAAACAAAAUGCUAUAAACCCAAAAGAGUAGUACAGCGACCCUAAAACAUGCUUUAACUUUUCCUUAAAGUUGUGACUCAAAUAUUUAAGAUCACAACAAAGUUCUCAUUUCAAUUGUUCUAAAUGCAACAACGAGCUGCAUGCAUAUUGACUUGUCUUGCUACAUUGAUUAAUAGUUUUUAACGUUGGAAAGGAAACACAAAAAAUUUAAGCUAUAGUGAUGAUUGAGUAAUAUUUCUGAGAUCUGAAUUAAAAUGUGUAAUACCUUUCCUAUUUCGGAUGGUAUGAAUUAUGCGUUAUGUUUCUUGUAGGGAGAUGUAAGUUGGCCUACCUACCUUCCAUUUUUGCCUAUAAAAGAAAUUUUUUGUUCAAUAUAAUACUGGAACUAAUAAGAAUUAGAAAAGUAUUUCUAUUUCCAGUCAAAGAAAAUUGAGACGUCAAAACCAGAAACCUUAUUGUAACUUGAAUGUUUGUGAUGUCUUUUGUAAGCAUUAUUUUCCAUUCAGUUGGUACUAGCUUAAUUAUCUUUAGUAAGGUUCUAUUUGAUAAUUUAACUCAGCACUCAAACUUAAUGGGUUCAGAUCAUAAUAUGUUCAAACGCAUUUGAUAACUAAAAAUAAGACAUUUGAAUUAAUUAAGUGACACUGAAUUUUGCACAAUUUAUUUCAAAAAUAAGUGAUAAAUUAUUCAAGUAUCACUUAAUGUGAUAUACAUUUAAAUGUUUCAGAUUUAAUACUCAACAAUUCAGUAAAUUAACGAAUUUAGACUUUAGAUUUCAAAUUUCAUUUUUCAAACUUUAGUUUUAUCAAACGUACCCUAAGGGUGUGUUUGAUAAAACUGAAGUCUGAAUCUAUUAAAUUAUUGAAUUUUUAAGUAUUAAAUCUAAUACAUUUGACUGCAUAUCACAUUCAGUAAUAAGUGAAUAGCUUAUCACUUAAUUUUGGGAGCAAAUUUUGCCUAGAAAAUUUAAUACUAUUUAAUUAAUUCAGAUGUUAAAUUUUUUAUUAUCAAAUGGUCUGAAUAUAUUAAAAAUUGAAUCCAUUAAGUUUAAAUGCUGAAUUGGAUUAUCAAACAGAAUCUAAGUCUAUUAAGGGGAUUGAACCAAUAAAUUUGAUGAGUUUCAGUUUAACAAUAUAUUUAACAAAUUAUCACUGCCCAAUAAGGGCCCAUCUAAAAACACUUGAAACAAGUGCAUGCUUGUUUGGUGAUUUCCGGCUGGGCUCCCGCUGCUCUUGCAGUGUCCAUUAACGAAUUCCUAUUGUCAAUUUUGGGUCGUAUAUCCACCAGCCCAUGGAAUUUAUUUACAAAGGGAAAUCCUUUUAAGUUGUGAAUUUAAUUAGUAUAACGAGAAAUAAUUUGAGAAAAUUACAACAAAGUACAAACCAUAUGUGCAAGUUUUCUCAAACACAUACCAAUUAUGAAUAGCUUAAGAAAUGAUGAAUAAAUCAUCUUUUUCAGCUUUUCUUUUUGGCCCAUUGUUAAAUCUUCUUUGUUCCCUCAACAAAAAAAAAAAGAAGAAAGAAAUAAACUUCAUCUUUUUAAUUAGUGAAUAAAAUGUAUAUGAAGAGAAAAAGAUAAUUAAAUAUCUUAAUACUAAAACAUAAUGCUACUUAAGAAGUUUCAAAAAUUUUGGUAUCAGUUAGUGAUAAUAAUUUCUCCUAACGCAUUCUUUUAUCUACUACAAAAAAAAAACGUUAUAACUUAUUAUAAAAACCAUCCAAAAUCACAUUGAUUCUUAAGUAUUCCCCUUUCUCCUUGUAAGGGAUGAAUUGCAUCCAAAUCAGGUUCCUUACAAGUGGCUAGCACCCUAAUGGCCUAAUCCAUGGAAGCCAUAUUACAAAAGUGGACUACAAAAGCUAGGGGAAUAUAAUUUCCCAUACUUCUUAUUGUAAUCAUUCCCAAUUUACCUUGGCAUAUACUGGUUUGUUACAAGACUUCAAUCGCUAGCUCUGAACCUCUGGCUAGUAUGUAAUGGCAGAUUAUCUACUAGGAUCAGAGGCAGUUACUAGAUUGGAAAUCAAUACCAGACUAGUAGUGCCCUUUAUCUUGUUGCUUUUGUAUCAUUGGGUUCUUGAAAACAAAAGGCUAGAGAAUCACACCGGGCACAAGUUGCAGUAAAUGAAUUUUGAUUGAACAUGAAUUUAGCAUUUUACCCACCUCAAAUGCUAUUCUGGAAAGUUGCCAAAACUGAAGUUUAAGCUCAAAAAACUGCUUGAACACUGCCCCAAACAGGGCCUUUUUUUUUUUUUUUUUUUUUUUUUUAAAAACUACUUGAGUAAGUUCUACGAAAUCCAGGACUAGAAACUCUUGUUCCACUUGAUACGCUGAUUGUCUUGAUGCCAUUUGCCUAACUUCUGAGUGGAUCGGGACUGGAGAAGGAAGACAAACGCAUGUGUGGCCUUCAUUUAUGCCCCGUCUGCUGCUUCAGAAUCUAGUUGCAGUUCCCGUCUAAGAGGAAGAAUCUAAAGGACAAAGAAACAAGCAGAAGACUUUAGUAGUCAUGAAAUUAUCAUUAGUCUCCUCAGGGCUGGAAUUUGAAAAAAACCCUGAAUACUAACAUGUUGAUAUUGGCUACCCAGAACAGAAAGUUAUCGCUAAAAUAAUUACAAGCUAAUACCAUCAUUUCUAAUUUUGAACUUACGUUUCAGUGUAUCUAAUCCUUAUUAAUUUGUAUAAUUGCUAAUUCUUUCUACUAAUUAAGUCAAAAGAGAAUUGUUUUGAAUGAUCUUUUUUCUUUUUCGAAAAUUGUAAUAUAAUAUUUUGAUCAUAAGCGCAUUUGAGAUUUUCAAAGAUGUUAGAUAGUGAUUCUUGAAAACAACGAAAAACUCCACCCAAACAGAUAAGCCAUGUCUGUAUCUUUUUUCUAUCUUUCUUAGAGGUAAUCCACGAAUUGGACACUAACUAAGAAAACAUCAUAACAUUGACAUAUUAGAACACUGAAGUUCACAUUACCAGAAGAAUAAAAAAUGAGGGAUGAGAACUGACUGAAAUUAUGCAGGAGGAUUAUUGAGAGAGAAGCAUCUUCGAAUCAUUCCUAGAAUACAAGACAAGACCAUCAACAUCUCUGAAAUUUCUCAUGUAGAAAAUUUGUUAAGAAGAUUAACAUGUACGCGCAAAAUGAUAGCAGCCAAUCGCCCUAUAUAAACCCCCAAGCUGUGGCAUCUUGAAACCACAACCAGCUACCAGUUCACUUAGAAUUUUUGAAACACCAUGAAGUUCACCUACAUUUUGUCCCUUUUGGUUUUGUGCCUAACUUUAUACUUCACUUUCGCCAAUGCUGCAAAUUUCAACAUCACAAACAAAUGUACCUACACAGUUUGGGCAGCUGCUUCCACAGGUGAUGGCAGGCAACUCGACCGAGGCCAAUCAUGGUCCCUAGAUGUGGCUCCUGGCACCACCAAAGCUCGCAUUUGGGGCCGAACCAAUUGCAAAUUUGAUGCCAAUGGCCAGGGCCAAUGUCAAACAGGUGACUGCAACAAGCGCCUCAAAUGCCAAGGCUAUGGAAAUCCACCAAAUACGCUAGCUGAAUUUGCCCUAAACCAGCCUAACAACUUAGACUACAUCGACAUCUCCAACGUUGAUGGAUUCAACAUCCCAAUGGAGUUCAGCUCUGUAACUCCGUGCCGCGUUAUCAAAUGUUCGAAACCUAUUGUUGAUCAAUGCCCAGCUCAGCUAAGAACUCCAGGUGGAUGCAACAACCCCUGCACUGUUUUUAAAAGAAAUGAGUACUGCUGCACCAAUGGCCCAGGAAGCUGUGGCCCGACCGACUUCUCCAGGUUCUUUAAGAGCAGGUGCCCUGAUGCUUAUAGCUAUCCUCAAGAUGAUCGCACAAGCUUGUUUGCUUGCCCAAGUGGUACAAAUUAUAGGGUUGUCUUCUGCCCUUAAAUAAAGCUAGAUAUUUAAGGUUCUUGUGACAGCUUAUAUGCUCCAAGAACUUCACCAGAAAAGUAGAUUAUGAGAAAUAAACGCAUAUGUGAACCUUGUGGUAAUGGUUCACUGGAAUUGGGAUAAGUUUGAGCACAUAUAGCAUUGUGCGAUUUGUCUUCUUUAUCAGCAUUUUGGCUCUUUAAACAACUUAUGAACUAGAUCACCAGUUCAAAACUAAUGAAGUUUUACUAAAUUAAUCUGUAAGAAGGAUUUACAGAUCUCUAGUUUUAAAUUAGAUUGUCAAAAUACUUUGUUCCCCGCACUUCAAAAAUUUGAGUCAUAUUUAGGUUUAACUUACACAGGAGAAUUCCUUUUUUUUGGAAUUCAGACUAUCUCUCCAGUCAAAUACUAAGGUGUCAUAUAAAUCAAAAUAAUUUGUUUUAGUGUAUUACAUAAUGUUACCACGAAAUCCAGAGUAAGAGAAGUUUGUCUUACAAACAUUGAAGAAAUGGGAUGUUGGUGUAAAUUCAAAACAAAAAUGGGGAUUUCCAUGCUAAGGUAGACCCCAAAACAAUUGAAAAUGAUAAUCUCAUGAAAUAACAAAGAUGGUGAUAUGAAAGUUUACUAAGUAAGAUAAAGGUGCAAUUAAGGAGCUCAAGUGAUGUGGAAACUCGUAGAUGCCAAAUUGAUAAUUUGAUGCACUCAUGCUAAAUAGUACUAAUUCACUCUUAAAAGCUGGAAUUGGAGCCACUGCUAGAAGUUCCAUGAAGUUCAGUUCAAUUGUUAUAUUUAUUACGUAAUAUUAUUAUGCUUUUGGAAAAAGUAAUAUACAUGAACGAAAAUACUUGGUAUGUAGUGAAUACAACAUUAUAAUGUAGUUGUCUACCAAAAAUUUAAAUACACACAAUAAAAUAAUGCAUAUCUAUUCAAAUUAUGUAUCAGAAAAGAGUUAAAUAUUGCUCUAAGGAUAAAAAAUUAAGUGAUUAUAUAAUUGUUUUGAACGCUAUUUUUAGGAAAAUCAUUAUAUAGCAUCUUAGUGAUAACUGCUUUUGUGAUAUUAAAAGAUGUUAGAAAUAAUUCCUGAAAUUAAUCUGGUUAAAAAACGCUCCAUUCAAACAGAAAAUUCAUGUCCUUUUUUUUCUUUUUUGGUCUUUCGUAGAGGUAAUCCACAAAUUGGACACUUACGAAAAAGCAUUGGAACAUUGAUUGAAAGAACAACGAGGGAUGAGAACUGACUGAAAUUAUGCAGGAGGAUUAUGGACAGAUCCGCAUCUUUUGAAUCAUUCCUAGGAUACAAAACAAGACCAUCAACAUCCCUAAAAUUUCUAUGUAGAAAUUUGUUGAAAUAUCAACACUUCCAUGCAAAAUCAUAGCAACCAAUUCACCUAUAUAAACCCCCUGGCUGUGGCAUCUCCAAACCACAACAGCUACCAGUUGAAUUGGAAGGUUUUGAAGCACCAUGAAUUUCACCUACACUUUGUCACUUUUGGUUUUGUGCCUAGCUUUAUACUUAACCUUCACCAAUAGCUGCAAAUUUCAACAUUAACAAAAUAAACACAUAAAACAAUUAAACCUUUACCAUGUAUUCUCUUUUACUUAUUGAUCGGUCACAUCAUGAAAUACAAAAGGAUUAUAGAAUUACUUACUUAUAUAAAUAUAUUCCAGGGUAAUGUUAUCUAUUCCAUAUGAUUGAUGAAAAGCGAAAAUGACUUGCCUGUCUUUCUUCGUCAGAAGAGUACCUAAUAGCCGCACUAGAAUUGCCAGCACAAAUAAGAAAUAAAAUGCUGUAAAACCAAAAAGAGCAGUGCAGCCACUGUUGGCUUCUAAAUAUCAGCAUAGUGAUUGUUAUGGCUACAACAACUAACCACCCGAAAACAUGUUUUAACUUUUCCUUAAAGUUGUGACUUAAAUGUUCAACAUCUUAAUGUAAGAGGAAGGAUUCAAUUCCCAGACCUCUUACUUGCACUCCCUCCCCUUUAAACUAUUCAACUCAUCUCAUCCCCGAGUUGUAUGUAUAUUGACUUGUCUUGUUAUAUUAAUUAAUAUCUUUUAACGUUGGAAAGGAAAUACAAAAAGUUUAAACUAUAGUGAUGAUUGACUAAUUUUUGUGAGAUCUGAAUUGCCAUGUGCAAUACCUUGAAGGUGUAAAUUGACCUACCCACCUUCCAUCUUUUACUACUGCUGGGCAAUUAAAAUAAUUUUUCUUUGUUCAAUAUAAUAGUGGAAUUGGUAAGAAUUAGGAGAGUAUUUCUAUUUCUAGUCUAAGAAAAUUGAACAAAUUUGACAAAUUUCAGUUUAAAAAUAUUGACAAAUUAUCACUGCCCGAUACGGGCCCAGUCCAUCUAAAACACGCUUGAAGCACAGAGCAGAUUGAUUUGGUGGUUUCCGGUUGGGCUUCCGGUCCUUGAUCCGCGUCUAUUAACGAAUUCGUAUUGUCAAUAUUGGGCCGUAUAAUCCACCAGCCCAUGGAAUUUAAUUUAGGAAAAUAAAUUUCUUUUAAGUUGUGAAUUUAAUUAGUAGAACGAGAAACAAUUCAGAAAAUUAGUAUAAAGUACAAACCAUAUAGUACAUGUUUUUCUCAAUAAAAUACCAAUUAUGACUAGCUUAAGGAAUUGAUAAAUAAUUCAUCUUUGUUCAGCUUUUCCUUUUGGGUGAUUCCCAUUAAUAAAAUCAUCUUUGUUCUCUCAAAAAAAAAGAAAAGAAAAGAAAAGAAAGAAAGAAACGAACUCCAUCCUUUUAAGUGGUAAAUAAAAUGAAUAAAAAGAAAAAUGCAAAUAAAUAUCUUAACACUGCAAAAAAGAAAUUGAUAUUGAAACAUACUGAUAUUUAAGAAGUUUUUAUAAAUUUUGGCAUCACCUACAGAUAAAAUGAUAUCUCUGUAAUGUGCCUUUUAUUAACUAUAAAAAAAAAAUACGUUACAGAGGUUCCAGUGGCAGAGGUAGAAAUACUUUUCAGUUGGGGCACGAAUUAACUUUCCCAAUUUUUUUCCAAUUUACAAGUGGCUAAUAAUAACAAAAGAUUAUUUUUUUAAAGGAUCAAAUCUAAUAGACUGAUAAACCACCACUGCUUUGUUAAUGAAAAAUGCAAAGCUAUGGGCCAAGGUAAGGUAAAUAUGCAAGCAAAAGUACGUUGGAACUUGGCAUCUAAAGAUUUGCAGCUAUUUGCUUUCUUCUUUGUUUACGUUUUGAUAAAUUAUACAAUAAUGACUAUGCUAUAUAAUAACUAUUUCAAAAUCCAGCCAAGGCACAAUUUAGAAUUUUCAAGAAAUCUCAAAACUAUUCUAGGUACCUCAUUUGGGUCAAUAGGGAUAUGUGCCCCAUUGGCCACAACGUAAAUCUACCCUUUUUUUUAGUAAAAAAAGUUUGGGUGAAUUUGAUUUCGAUUAUCGUCACGGGUCAAAAUCUGUUUCCGGAACUAUAAGUCGCUUGCAGAAGUUCUUAUAAAUCACCCAACAACAGAGACCUCACAAUGUAAAUCCACUUAUAGGUUCUUAGUUCGACGAUCUGAAGCUUUCCUUUGCCAUAAUAAAGCAUGAACUACAUUCAAACUGCAUUCCUUACACUGGGCACAAGUAGCAGUAAAUGAAUUUUGAUUGAAUAUGAAUUUAGCAUUUUAGGCUUGUAGCAACCAGAAAUGCUAUUCUGGAAAGUUGCCAAAACUAAAGUUUAAGCACAAAAAACUGCUUGAACACUUCACGAAACUGCCCAAAUUGGGCUUUUAAUUUUUUUUCUCCAAUUACUUGAGUAACCUCUACGAAAUCCUGGAAUAGAAACUCUUGUUCUACUUGAUAUCCUGAUUGAAUUGUCUAAGCUUCUUGAAGCUAUUUGCCUAACAUUCGCUGGUCUCAGACUUGAGUAGGAAGACAAACAGACGUAUGGUCAUGAUUUGUGCCCAUUCGGCUGCACCAAAAUCUUGUUGAAACUCUAGACUAAGAGGAAGAUUCCAAAGAAAAAUAUCAAAACAGAAGACUUUAGGAGUUACGAAAUUGGCAUUUAGUCUCCUUGGGUGUGGAAUUUGAAAUCAUCAUCAAUACUAACAUGUUGAUAUUGACUACCUCACAACAGAAAGUUAUCGCGAAAAUAAUUAGAUGCUAAUACCAAACGUUUUAAUCUCUAACCAUCAUUUCUUAUGUUAAACAUAGGUUUUAGCGUAGCUAAUCAAUAUAUGUACAAUUGCUAAUUUUUUCCACUAAUUAAGUCAAAAGAUAAUUGUUUUGAAUGGUGUUUUUGCGAAAAUUCCAAUAAAAUAUUUUGUUAAUAAACACAUUUGAUAUUUUCAGAGAUGUUAGAUAGUGAUUCCUGAAAACAGUGAGGUUGAAAAAACAUUUCAACCAAACAGAUAAGUCAUGUCUGUUUCUUUUUUCUAUCUUAGAGAAUUGGACACUAAAGAAAAGAAAUUGUAACAUUGAUAUAUAGAACAGUCAAGUUCACAUCACCAGAAGAAUAAACAAUGGGGGAUGAGAUUAUGCAGAAUAUGGACGGAUAAGCAUCUUUGAAUCAUUCCUAGAAUACAAGAAAGGGCCAUCAACAUCUCUGAAAUUUCUCAUGUAGAAAAUUUGUUAAGAAGAUUAACAUGUACACGCAAAAUGAUAGCAGCCAAUCGCCCUAUAUAAACCCCCUACCUGUGGCAUCUUGAAACCACAGCCAGCUACUAAUUCACUUAGAAAGUUUGAAACACCAUGAAGUCCACCUACACUUUGUCCCUUUUGGCUUUAUGCCUAACUUUAUACUUAACCUUCACCAAUGCCGCAAAUUUCAACAUUAUAAACCAAUGUACCUACACAGUUUGGGCAGCUGCUUCCCCAGGCGGUGGCAGGCGGCUCGACCGAGGCCAAUCAUGGUCCCUAGACGUGGCUCCUGGCACCAC
rnacentral:lncRNA from 1 species